rnacentral:rRNA from 1 species
UUAAGGAACAAAGAGCAUAAGGUGAAUGCCUUGGUGAUUAGAGCCGAAGAAGGACGUGGCAAGCUGCGAAAAGCUAUGAUAAGGAGCAAACAUCCGUUACAGUCAUAGAUCUCCGAAUGAGGAAACUCACUUAAUAGAGAUAUUAAGUAUCCAUUGCUGAAUACAUAGGCAAUAGGAAGGGAACCCACCGAACUGAAACAUCUAAGUAAGUGGAGGAAAAGAAAGAAACAUCGAUUCCCAAAGUAGCGGCGAGCGAAAUGGGAGGAGGCCAAACCGAAUAAGGAAACUUAAUCGGGGUGAGGGAAGCUAACAAUAUGAUUGAGGUAUCGCAAAGGAAAUACUUGGGAAAGUAUACCAAAGAAGGUAAGAGUCCUGUACUUGAAGCGAGAAAACACAUAAGCUUUACCCGAGUAUCGUAGGACACGAGGAACCCUGCGAGAAAGAUGGGGGACCACCCCCAAAGCCUAAAUACUACUAAUCAACCGAUAGAAAAUAGUACCGUGAGGGAAAGGUGAAAAGAACCCCGGGAGGGGAGUGAAAAAGAACCUGAAACCAUAUGCUUACAAACAGAUGGAGCGAGCGAUCGUGACAUCGUACUUUUUGUAGAACGGGCCAACGAGUUAUGCUGUAAAGCAAGGAUAAUAAAUUAAGUUUAGCAUCCAAAGCGAAAGCGAGUCUUAAUAGGGCGAAAAGUUAUGCAGCAUAGACCCGAAACCGGGCGACCUACCCAUGAGCAGGUUGAAGUUUCAGUAACAUGAAAUGGAGGACCGAACCCACGAACGUUGAAAAGUUCGGGGAUGACUUGUGGGUAGCGGUGAAAUUCCAAUCGAGCUCGGAGAUAGCUGGUUCUCCUCGAAAUAGCUUUAGGGCUAGCGUCUUAAGAAAUGUAUAUCGGGGGUAGAGCACUGAAUGCUCUAGGGGCCGUAUAGGUUACCGAAAGCUAUCAAACUUCGAAUACCGAUAUAUGAAUAAGGCAGUCAGACUACGAGUGAUAAGAUCCGUGGUCAAGAGGGAAAAAGCCCAGAUCAACAGCUAAGGUCCCAAAAUGUAUGUUAAGUGGAAAAGGAUGUGAAAUUGCACAGACAACCAGGAUGUUGGCUUAGAAGCAGCCAUACAUUAAAAGAGUGCGUAAUAGCUCACUGGUCGAGUGGUUUUGCGCCGAAAAUUACCGGGGCUCAAACAUACUACCGAAGCUUUGAACGUGUGAGAUUUUACUAAGAGCUUAAGUAAAAUCCAAGAGAAGACAUAUUAAAAUCUAACCGAUAAAAAAAGAAAAAAAUAAGAAACAAAGACAAAGAAACAGACAAAUAAAAAUACAGUAAUAAAGUAAAAUAAAAAGCAAUAUAAAACGAAAGAUUUUAAUUAAAUUUCUCAAAGAAAAAACAUACUAAAUGAAGCUUAAGAGUUUAGUAAAAUCUCACACGUGGUAGAAGAGCAUCGUAUGAUAGGGAGAAGGAGGAUUGAAAAAGACUCUGGACGAAAUACGAGAGAGAAUGUUGGCAUGAGUAGCGAGAUGUGUGUGAGAAUCACACAGGCCGAAAACCCAAGGUUUUCCAAGGAAGGUUCGUCCGCUUGGAGUAAGUCGGGGCCUAAGGAGAGGCAGAAAUGCGUAUCUGAUGGAUAACAGGUUAAGAUUCCUGUACCUACGCUUAUCGCCAAAGAGGAGAAGGAAUGACGCAGGAGGAUAAGAUCAGCGCACGGUUGGAAGAGUGCGUCCAAGCAGUAAGGCAGGCAUAUAGGCAAAUCCGUAUGCUGGUAAUGUUGAGCUGUGACGGGGAGAGAAGUUAAGUAUCGAAGGAUCUGAUUUCACACUGACAGGAAAAGUUUCUAUCCAGAUAAGAGUAGCCCGUACCAAAACCGACACAGGUGGGUAAGGUGAGAAACCUAAGGCCAGCGAGAGAACUGUUGUUAAGGAACUCGGCAAAAUGACCCCGUAACUUAGGGAUAAGGGGUGCCUUAGAGAUAAGGCUUCAAGAAAAAGGCCCAAGCGACUGUUUACCAAAAACAUAGGUCUCUGCGAAACCGCAAGGUGAAGUAUAGGGGCUGACGCCUGCCCGGUGCUGGAAGGUUAAGAGGAGAUGUCAGGCAACGAAGCAUUGAAUUUAAGCCCCAGUAAACGGCGGCCGUAACUAUAACGGUCCUAAGGUAGCGAAAUUCCUUGUCGGGUAAGUUCCGACCCGCACGAAAGGCGUAACGAUUUGGGCACUGUCUCAACGA